CUAAGAUAUGGACAACAUCUUAAAGUACUGGUAAUGCCCAAUGUACCAAAUACCUUAUAUGUUUCCAAAUUAUACUGAAUAAAAUAUAAAUAUACAAAAAAAUUGUUCCCAACAUCCUGAAUCUCAAAAAAUAUAGCAAUACUCCUCCUACAAAACAUGCAGCAAAAGGUCGAAGCAAAAUAAGCUUAAAAUGUUACCAGAUUAUAGCAUACUGCACUAUACUAAUGCAUAUUAUUCUGAAGCCCAGUACGUAUCAUGUUUUGUGUCGAGAUGCAAUUAAGGAGGGAGAAAAGGGAGGACAGAAGAAGACGGAGAACUUGGUAGAAAGAUACGGAACCAACACGAACGAGUCGGGUUCUCGACGCCCACCUGAUCACACAACAAGGAGUAGAAAGACAAUCGUGCUGAAACUGAACGUGCGCUGUAUCGUUUCGUUCCAACGAAAGUACAAACUUACUUUACCACCUUUGGUUCACGACGAAAUUGCAUUAUUGCAAAACCCAACGAAUAUCACAGCAUUUAGACGUGUAAUGUGUACACAUUGUAUACACAUGCAUUUCGUGUACGUAAGGUGGCAAGGUGUGCAAGUUUUAUCAGAAAUACAAUAGUCUCGCAUAGGCAGCGGCUUAAGUUACGAGAUAAGCACACAAGAAAUUACGAAGUCGUUCGAAAACAUUCAUGAACCCCCACCGGAAUACUCACUCAUUCUUCUACGCAGGAGAAAAAAACGUGAUUGAGGAAACCGGAGAACGUUGUAACGAGAACUAAAAGUUGGAGGGGCUGCACUCCACUGCAUACAUCCAAGGCACCAGCUUCUUGCCUUGCAAGUAGAUAUGCAAACAAUAUAUCGAUAUACUGAAGGAUAUCGAUACACCUGUCCCGAGCCACUUGUCCGGACGCGUUUCGAACAUAUUUUACUCGAUGUUUGUCGCGCAUCGAUGCAUCGAUGUAAUAUUGUAUCGAUAUUCGAGCAAUUGGUUUUUUACAUUCUUUCUCGAGGUAAACGUUACUGAAAACUUUAAGUAAUAUUGCGUUCACUCACUCAUAUUACUCGGCAUGAUCCUGAAUUGAUGGGCGAUCCAUUUAAACGCACUAUUAUUUAUUCGUUGGUAACAUUCGCACAAUUUUUAAAACAACGAGUCCGCCAAUUUUUUUUUUUUUGUUAACAAAAUACCGCCUUGCACACCACUGUGCACACCGACAUGCACCGACGUGCACUGUCGUACUACGCAUGCGUGCUCGCGACAAGUGUAAGGAGCUGAGGCUCAUGGCGGAUUCUCAGUAAGAUAUCUAUUCUUGUUAUUAGAGUAAAGCAGAACGAACCGACGUGUAAUAAACCAAGACAGAACGGAAUUAGAAGGGAUAUUCUUACGCGCGCAAUAAGAGAAACACGAACGGCCGCAACAAAUUAUUAGACUAAGCACCUCUUCGCUGCAUGCCUAUCAUACGUAGGUAGAGCUUAUUUUUGAAAUGUAUUUCGAUAGAGACUGUUGAACUUUUAGAGAUGAUACGUUCAAGAUAUCCAGACGAAACGGGAUCGGUAUGAGUAAAACGAAGAAAAAUUCAACAAUGUAACAUUAAUAGACAUUACUUCGCGGCAUCGAAUAGUGCGCCAAACGAGAAAUAAAAUAUGCAUUACGAAAAUGGCGCGAUUUUUUUGUGAUAUUUUUAAAACUUCAAUCUUUGAACGUCUUUCUCAAAAUACUGCUUUUUUUUCAUUUAUUUAAAAAUGUAAAUGAUUCUAUUUUUACAAGAAAACUUGUAAUAUUUAAUAGCUAAAUUUAAUUUUCUGUUAUAUUUUAAUUUUAUUGUAUUUUUACAAACUCUACGUAAAUUAUAUUUAAAGUAAUAGAACAUACUAGUACGAACAUUUACGCAGACAUAUGUUUGUCGACUGAAGAGUAUUGAUAACGUGUAUAAAACCACAAAUUUCCGCGUUCUUAAGUUUCCGUAUCAAAGUCAUGUAAUCUUUAUCCAUGCGUUUAUAGUAUUACUAAUAUAUUCGACUCGACAAUUUGUUUAAGAUUAUCAUUAACGUAUUUUACGUUCUGAACCGGUUGAUUCAUGGCAUUAUUGAAAAUUAAUGAAUACUAAAAAAGAAUCAUUAUCAAGUACGAAAAUGAAAUAUGUAUUAUUCACUUUGUUACUAAAUAUAAAAAUUGAAAUAUACUAACAUAGUGGCGUAAAUAUUUGCUAGUGAAAUACUUUUAUAUUCAAGCAACCGUAUUUUAAUUAAUACUGUUCAACAGCUUAAAUAUGAACGUAAACUGAAUCGUCAUUGAAAGUAAUAAAAAAAAAUCAUACAAAGGAUGGGUAACAUACAUCAUAAAACUUCAACAUUUGCAAAUUCGCUUGUUUAUUUCAUGUUGUUUCUUGUUUAAAAACCGUGAUUAAGGUCAGUUUAGUAUUCUUCGGCUCCCUCUCCUUCGCCCUCGGCGGAAUCCAUACCAACCUCCUCGUAAUCUUUCUCCAAAGCAGCAAGAUCUUCACGUG